rnacentral:misc_RNA from 1 species
CCGAGUUCAUGCCCUCACGGGUAGAUCUCCCACCCUAUGUUAUCAUUACCUUCGUUGCUUUGGCGGGCCGUCAGGCUUCGGCUAGGCUAUCGGCUCCGGCUGGUAAGCGCCCGCCAGAGGACCCUAAACUCUGAAUGUUAGUGUCGUCUGAGUAAAAUAUAAUAAGUUA